rnacentral:rRNA from 1 species
CCUACGGGAGGCAGCAGUGAGGAAUAUUGGUCAAUGGACGAGAGCCUGAACCAGCCAAGUAGCGUGAAGGAUGACUGCCCUAUGGGUUGUAAACUUCUUUUAUAUGGGAGUAAAAUGUUCCACGUGUGGGAUUUUGUAUGUACCAUAUGAAUAAGGAUCGGCUAACUCCGUGCCAGCAGCCGCGGUAAUACGGAGGAUCCGAGCGUUAUCCGGAUUUAUUGGGUUUAAAGGGAGCGUAGGUGGAUUGUUAAGUCAGUUGUGAAAGUUUGCGGCUCAACCGUAAAAUUGCAGUUGAAACUGGCAGUCUUGAGUACAGUAGAGGUGGGCGGAAUUCGUGGUGUAGCGGUGAAAUGCUUAGAUAUCACGAAGAACUCCGAUUGCGAAGGCAGCUCACUGGACUGCAACUGACACUGAGGCUCGAAAGUGUGGGUAUCAAACAGGAUUAGAUACCCUAGUAGUC